rnacentral:rRNA from 1 species
GAUGAACGCUAGCUACAGGCUUAACACAUGCAAGUCGAGGGGCAGCGCAGUGUAGCAAUACAUGGGCGGCGACCGGCGCACGGGUGCGUAACGCGUAUCCAACCUUCCCGUUACUCCGGGAUAGCCUUCCGAAAGGGAGAUUAAUACCCGGAUGGUGUUUGAAGUCCGCAUGAAAUUCAAACUAAAGAUUUAUCGGUAACGGAUGGGGAUGCGUUCCAUUAGCUUGUUGGCGGGGUAACGGCCCACCAAGGCUUCGAUGGAUAGGGGUUCUGAGAGGAAGGUCCCCCACACUGGAACUGAGACACGGUCCAGACUCCUACGGGAGGCAGCAGUGAGGAAUAUUGGUCAAUGGUCGAGAGACUGAACCAGCCAUGCCGCGUGAAGGUGACGGCCCUAUGGGUCUUAAACUUCUUUUGUAAGGGAGCAAUAAGUCUUACGUGUAGGAUGAUGAGAGUACCUUACGAAUAAGCAUCGGCUAACUCCGUG